GGAGAGGUGGCCGAGUGGCUGAAGGCAGCAUCCUGCUAAGAUGUUGAACUCGAAAGGGUUCCGAGGGUUCGAAUCCCUCCCUCUCCG
rnacentral:tRNA from 1 species